rnacentral:rRNA from 1 species
AUUGAACGCUGGCGGCAGGCCUAACACAUGCAAGUCGAACGGUAACAGGAAGAAGCUUGCUUCUUUGCUGACGAGUGGCGGACGGGUGAGUAAUGUCUGGGAAACUGCCUGAUGGAGGGGGAUAACUACUGAAAACGGUAGCUAAUACCGCAUAACGUCGCAAGACCAAAGAGGGGGACCUUGGGCCUCUUGCCAUCGGAUGUGCCCAGAUGGGAUUAGCUAGUAGGCGGGGUAACGGCUCACCUAGGCGACGAUCCCUAGCUGGUCUGAGAGGAUGACCAGCCACACUGGAACUGAGACACGGUCCAGACUCCUACGGGAGGCAGCAGUGGGGAAUAUUGCACAAUGGGCGCAAGCCUGAUGCAGCCAUGCCGCGUGUAUGAAGAAGGCCUUCGGGUUGUAAAGUACUUUCAGCGGGGAGGAAGGGAGUAAAGUUAAUACCUUUGCUCAUUGACGUUACCCGCAGAAGAAGCACCGGCUAACUCCGUG